AGCAUGGUCUGUUUUGAAGGGAUUGUUGCUAUUUCCAAUCUAUAUGAAGGCUAUAUGAGUUAGCCAUAUAGAUACUGCUUGAUGGUAGCCCUCCAAAUUUUGCUGGAUGAGUUGCACUGGAAGGUUCACCUGGUAAAACAGAAGGCAGAUGAAGAACCAGACAACCAUGAGAAGGAACAAUUAAAGCCAUUGUCUUUCACCGACAAGUAAUUACAGCCUGGGGAAAUUCAGGCAAACAUUUAUAAGCAGGAUCUUCAGCUUUGGUAGUGUUCCUGAUCACAGCCUGAUGCCUCAGGUAUUACCUGGGGUAAGUCAGUUGUACACUGGAAACUUGCUGGAAACUUCUGAUCUGGGGAGGCUGCUCUGCCCAGAGCAAUGGAAUGAGGAAUGCAUCCAUGCUGUUUCACAGAACUCUCCUAGGCAACCUCAAGAUCUGGAGGUUGGUGGCCCAGACUGUGGUAGGAGGGUUGGAACUUGAUGAUCCUUGGGGUCCCUGCCAACCUGAGCUGGUUUACGAUUCCUUUGGAGAGGGCUCUGGCUGAACAUGCAGGCUUGUUUGCUGUUCUUCAUCAAUGGUGCCCAAGGCAAGAGCAAGUAUGAAAGCACACGUAAUCAAGCAGAAGGUGCAGCAACCUUGCACAAGUGGUCCUGUAACUCUCGGUCUUACUCAGGAUUUCUGCUAUUGCAUGAAAGAGUUGCUGCAGAAAAGAAGGUAGGUGCAAGUCCCAGAUACUCUACAUUUUGAGCAAUCAUUGCUUGUUCAGAUCCAUGAGCAUAAAUGUGUCCUCUCUCCUUUCUGCUUGUAGAUGCUCAAUAGCAAUACACAUAUUGGACUGUAUAUACAUCUAUAUAUAAAUAUUUGUCUCCAAGUUUCUCUCAAGAAGAUGUAGCUCCUACUGUGCCCCUAAAAUAUUUCAUAUGUGAAACACAUCCUGCUUAGAUUGAAGUGGCAGGCCAUUGCCUUCUCCCUUCAACCCUAUCAUACUAUACUAAAGACGUUUACU
rnacentral:lncRNA from 1 species